rnacentral:rRNA from 1 species
UGGGGAAUAUUGGACAAUGGGGGAAACCCUGAUCCAGCCAUGCCGCGUGAGUGAAGAAGGCCCGAGGGUUGUAAAGCUCUUUCAGCGGGGAAGAUGAUGACGGUACCCGCAGAAGAAGCCCCGGCUAACUCCGUGCCAGCAGCCGCGGUAAUACGGAGGGGGCUAGCGUUGUUCGGAAUUACUGGGCGUAAAGGGCAUGUAGGCGGGUCGGCCAGUCAGGCGUGAAAGCCCCGGGCUCAACCUGGGAACUGCGCUUGAUACUGCCGACCUAGAGUCCGGGAGAGGGUAGUGGAAUUCCCAGUGUAGAGGUGAAAUUCGUAGAUAUUGGGAAGAACACCAGUGGCGAAGGCGGCUACCUGGACCGGUACUGACGCUAAGGUGCGAAAGCGUGGGGAGCAAACAGGAUUAGAUACCCCCGUAGUCC